rnacentral:rRNA from 1 species
GAUGAACGCUGGCGGCGUGCCUAAUACAUGCAAGUCGAGCGAACAGAUGAGGAGCUUGCUCCUCUGACGUUAGCGGCGGACGGGUGAGUAACACGUGGAUAACCUACCUAUAAGACUGGGAUAACUUCGGGAAACCGGAGCUAAUACCGGAUAAUAUAUUGAACCGCAUGGUUCAAUAGUUAAAGACGGUUUUGCUGUCACUUAUAGAUGGAUCCGCGCCGCAUUAGCUAGUUGGUAAGGUAACGGCUUACCACGGCAACGAUGCGUAGCCGACCUGAGAGGGUGAUCGGCCACACUGGAACUGAGACACGGUCCAGACUCCUACGGGAGGCAGCAGUAGGGAAUCUUCCGCAAUGGGCGAAAGCCUGACGGAGCAACGCCGCGUGAGUGAUGAAGGUCUUCGGAUCGUAAAACUCUGUUAUUAGGGAAGAACAAAUGUGUAAGUAACUAUGCACGUCUUGACGGUACCUAAUCAGAAAGCCACGGCUAACUACGUG